rnacentral:rRNA from 1 species
AAUUUAAUGGCCGCAGUAUUUUGACUGUGCAAAGGUAGCAUAAUCAUUAGUUUCUUAAUUAGAAGCUGGAAUGAAAGGUUGAACGAGAAAAUAACUGUCUCUUUAUAAAUUUUUUAGAAAUUUAUUUUUAAGUUAAAAAGCUUAAAUUUAUUUAAUAGACGAGAAGACCCUAUAGAGUUUUAUAUAAUUGAAUUUAAUUAUUAAAUUAGAAUAUUUUUAAUUUUUAAAUUUUAUUAUAUUUAAUUGGGGUGAUUGAAAAAUUUAUUUAACUUUUUUUUUAUAAAAACAUUUAUUUAUGAUUAUUUGAUCCAUUAUAUGUGUGUAUAUAUAUAUAUAUAUAUGAUUAUAAGAUUAAAUUACCUUAGGGAUAACAGCGUAAUUUUUUUUUAGAGUUCAAAUCGAUAAAAAAGUUUGCGACCUCGAUGUUGGAUUAAAAUUUAUUUUUGGUGUAGUAGCUAAAAAAUUAGGUCUGUUCGACCUUUAAAAUUUUACAUGAUCUGAGUUUAAACCGGUGUGAGCCAGGUUGGUUUCUAUCUUUAAUUAUAUAAAAAUAUUUUAGUACGAAAGGACCAAAUAUUUCUAAUAAUUAUUAUAAGUUGAAUUUUAUU